AAAAGUAGUCAGCCAUGAGUACGAGUGCAUCCACUUCGAUUAGGUGUAAUGAUUUCGAAAAUACUGAUCAACUGAUCAAGUACUAUGAUGACUGGGCAAAAGAAUAUGAUAAGACAUCUAUCUGAACGCUGAUAUUGUACAUGGUUGACCGUCGAGUUAGAGGUCGAAAUUCGUAAACAACAAUUUUACAAAGAAAACGAUACACAAACUGUACGUGGCUACAUCUGCCCUAAAGUUGGUGCAAAGAAGCUUGUAGAGUUCCUGGAGCAGCUCAAGUUUGGGACAGACUGUAGAAUACUUGAUGUUGGGUCUGGCACUGGAUUGGUAGGUG
rnacentral:misc_RNA from 1 species